rnacentral:rRNA from 1 species
CCUACGGGGUGCAGCAGUCGAGAAUCAUUCACAAUGGGGGAAACCCUGAUGGUGCGACGCCGCGUGGGGGAAUGAAGGUCUUCGGAUUGUAAACCCCUGUCAUGUGGGAGCAAAUUAAAAAGAUAGUACCACAAGAGGAAGAGACGGCUAACUCUGUGCCAGCAGCCGCGGUAAUACAGAGGUCUCAAGCGUUGUUCGGAAUCAUGGGGCGUAAGGCGUGCGUAGGCUGUUGCGUAAGUCGUGUGUGAAAGGCGCGGGCUCAACCCGCGGACGGCACAUGAUACUGCGAGACUAGAGUAAUGGAGGGGGAACCGGAAUUCUCGGUGUAGCAGUGAAAUGCGUAGAUAUCGAGAGGAACACUCGUGGCGAAGGCGGGUUCCUGGACAGUAACUGACGCUGAGGCACGAAGGCCAGGGGAGCGAAAGGGAUUAGAUACCCCGGUAGUC